AGUCCUAAGGGCACAAUAAUUGACCGCCCAUAUCAUCAUACCAGACUUCAGAGAGGAGGGAGAGAGUAGUGGUUGUCUGCGGUCGGGCUUCGGCCAUUGGCGAUCGACUCUUGCACGACCAAGCCAAACAAACCAAGCAACCAUGUCGUCCAAGCAAGGUGGAAAAGCGAAGCCUUUGAAGCAACCAAAGGCUGAUAAGAAAGAAUAUGACGAGGUUGAUAUGGCAAAUAUUCAGAAGAAGAAAGACGAGGAAAAGGCACUGAGGGAGCUGAGGGCGAAGGCAUCCCAGAAGGGUACGUUCGGAGGUACAGGCCUCAAGAAAAGUGGGAAGAAAUGAGUAUUGACAAUAGUCGUCAAUAGAAUCGUUGGGAACUAGAGUGAGUAGAGGCGAUGUCAUAUGGGUCAUUUGAUAAAACUCGUCCUUUGGAGCAUGGGAUUAAGUCAACUUAUCUGAGAUGUUUUCCUGAUUUCCGUGUAGAUGCAUACUCGUUUCAAUGUUGUCUGUCAUGCAUGUGUGGUUGUUUCUUUGAAAAAAAGAUGAUGAUUUUAUGAAAUACGUACUGGUGGUUGUUAGUAUUCCGUGCGAUUUCCUUUUAGGUUUUCAUUGUCCUCUUUGGCUUUUAUUGCAAUUGUUUGGUUUACCGCAUGGUUUUUAAAAACCGGACCGGAUGGUUGGAUCGGAAAAACUGGUAACCGUUCAGCCCCUUGGGUCCGGUAAAUCUUCAAAACCUGUUGAAAAAGUCAGAAAACCGCUGACCUGGGCGGUCGAACCGUUAAACCGUUUAAUUCGGGCAGCUGUUUGCGGGUUAUCAUUUUUAUUUUCACUGAUUUAAAUAAAAUAAAAAAACAAAAAACAAAAUGACUCCAUAUCCUCAAUCCCCAUCUCUUACGUUUAGGGUUAGAACGCGAUCCCAUUUUCGUUCUAACCCCUUCCCUCUUCUCAUCCAUCACAUCCAAUCAAACACCUAUGGCGUCCGACGGUGACACACAGUUGUGGUGAGCUUUGUCUAUGGCGUACAGCAUUGAUUUUACAACAGAUCUAAUAGCAACAGUUGUGGAUUGCGCUGCGGCAGUAAUAGGUCCAGCGGCCGAUGAUUUUGCAACCUUACUUGUACUGGCGGUGAUGACCGAACUGUUCAAC